rnacentral:rRNA from 1 species
UACGGAGGGUGCAAGCGUUGUCCGGAUUCAUUGGGUUUAAAGGGUGCGCAGGCGGGACAUUAAGUCAGGGGUGAAAGACGGUUGCUCAACAAUCGCAGUGCCUUUGAUACUGGUGUUCUUGGGUGACGGUGAGGUAGGCGGAAUGGGUGGUGUAGCGGUGAAAUGCAUAGAUACCACCCAGAACUCCGAUUGCGAAGGCAGCCUACUGGUCGUUAACCGACGCUCAGGCACGAAAGCGUGGGAUCAAACAGG